GAUGGGUGUGGUGGCGGGUGCCUGUAAUUCCAGCUACUCGGGAGGCGGAGGCGUGAGACUCGCUUGAACCCGGGAGGCGGAGGUUGCAGUGAGCCGAGACGGCGCCACUGUACUCCAGCCUGGGUGACAGAGCGAGACUACGUCUCCAUUUUUUUAAAAAGGGGGUGAAUUUAAUUGUAUGUGAAUUAUAUCUCAACUUUUUUUUUUUUUUUUGAGAUGGAGUCUCGCCCUGUCCCCCCGGCUGGAGUGCAGUGGUGCCAUCUCGGCUCACCGGUGGGCAACCCCUGCCUCCCGGGUUCAAGCGAGUCUCACGCCUCCG
rnacentral:SRP_RNA from 1 species